UGGCAUAUCAAAAAGCGGAGGAAAAGAAACCAACCGGGAUUGCCUUAGUAACGGCGAGUGAAGCGGCAAAAGCUCAAAUUUGAAAUCUGGCACCUUCGGUGUCCGAGUUGUAAUUUGAAGAAGCAACUUUGGUGCUGGUCCUUGUCUAUGUUCCUUGGAACAGGACGUCAUAGAGGGUGAGAAUCCCGUGUGGCGAGGAUCCCAGUGCUAUGUAAAGUGCUUUCGACGAGUCGAGUUGUUUGGGAAUGCAGCUCUAAGUGGGUGGUAAAUUCCAUCUAAAGCUAAAUAUUGGCGAGAGACCGAUAGCGAACAAGUACAGUGAUGGAAAGAUGAAAAGAACUUUGAAAAGAGAGUGAAAAAGUACGUGAAAUUGUUGAAAGGGAAGGGCAUUUGAUCAGACAUGGUGUUUUGCGACCCUUGCUCCUUGUGGGUGGGGAUCUCGCAGCUCACUGGGCCAACAUCGGUUUUGGCGGCAGGAUAAAACUUUGGGAAUGUAGCUUGUCUUCGGAGAAGUAUUAUAGCCCAAGGCAAUACUGCCAGCCGGGACCGAGGACUGCGACUUUGUCAAGGAUGUUGGCAUAAUGGUUAUAUGCCGCCCGUCUUGAACC
rnacentral:rRNA from 1 species